CACUGACAUUAGAUACCCGUGUAGUCCCAGCUGUAAACGAUGCAGACUAGGUGUUUGGACGGCCACGUGCCGUUCUAGUGCCGCAGGGAAGCUGUUAAGUCUGCCGCCUGGGGAGUACGAUCGCAAGAUUGAAACUUAAAGGAAUUGGCGGGGGAGCACCACAAGGGGUGAAGCUUGCGGUUUAAUUGGAGUCAACGCCGGAAAUCUCACCGGGAGCGACAGCAGUGUGAUAGCCAGAUUAAAGGUCUUGCUAGACGAGCUG
rnacentral:rRNA from 1 species